rnacentral:rRNA from 1 species
GUCCAGACUCCUACGGGAGGCAGCAGUGGGGGAUAUUGCACAAUGGGGGGAACCCUGAUGCAGCGACGCCGCGUGAGUGAAGAAGUAUCUCGGUAUGUAAAGCUCUAUCAGCAGGGAAGAAAGAAAUGACAGUACCUGACUAAGAAGCCCCGGCUAACUACGUGCCAGCAGCCGCGGUAAUACGUAGGGGGCAAGCGUUAUCCGGAUUUACUGGGUGUAAAGGGAGCGUAGGCGGCCAGGCAAGUCAGAAGUGAAAGCCCGGGGCUCAACCCCGGGACUGCUUUUGAAACUGCCAGGCUGGAGUGUCGGAGGGGUAAGUGGAAUUCCUAGUGUAGCGGUGAAAUGCGUAGAUAUUAGGAGGAACACCAGUGGCGAAGGCGGCUUACUGGACGAUCACUGACGCUGAGGCUCGAAAGCGUGGGGAGCAAACAGGAUUAGAUACCCCAGUAC